GGCGCUGUGGCGUAGUGGGUAAAGCCGCUGCCUGCAGUGCCAGCAUCUGAUAUAGGCUCAGGUUCAAGUCCUGGCUGCUCCA
rnacentral:tRNA from 1 species